GCCCUCGUAGCUCAAUGGUAGAGCGCGUCACUAGUACUUAAGGUGAUGACGAGGUUGACGGUUCGAUUCCGUUCGGGGGCA
rnacentral:tRNA from 1 species